rnacentral:snoRNA from 1 species
UGGAUUAGUGAUAAAAAUGUAUCAGGAACCAAAGAUUAUGAAUCAUCUAGUUUUGUAUACCCGGGGACCAUA